UUUUGUGCGUUCUGAUAACUUU
rnacentral:siRNA from 1 species